GCCGCGUGCGUUAUGAAAGCCUUCGGGUAGUAAACCGGUUUUCUGCGCGAAGAGGAAGGACUGUAGCGCAGGAAGACGUCUCGGCUCCCUACCUGGCAAUCAGCCGAGGUAAAAUCUAGGACGCGAGCGUUAUCCGGAUUUACUGUGUGUAAAGCGCGUGGAUGCGGUGAUGUAAGUGGUGCGUGAAAGCGCCCGGGUCAUCCGAGGCUAGGCCGCGCCAAACUGCAGUGACUGGGAGGCAGGUAGAUGCUCUUGGAAUUCCGGGUGUAUGUGGGACGUGCGUUGAUCUCCGUAGGAACACCAGUGGCCAAUGCUGCUCUCUAGGCCUGAUCUGACGCUAAGACGCGAAAGCAUGGGGAGCGAACGGGAUUAGAAACCCCGAUAGUACACGCUGUAAACGCCGCAGACAUAGGUGUUGCGUACGACGAGUAUGCAGUGCCGAAGCCAACGUGAUAAGUACACCACGUGGGGAAUACGCCCGCAAGAUUAAAAAGCAAAGGAAUUGACGGGGCACCGCACAAGCAGCGGAGCGUGUGAUUAAAUUCGAGGCGACACGCAGAACCUGACCUGGGAUCGACAUGGCGGUGGUAGGGAACCGAGAGGGGACCGACCUUCGGGAGCCGUCACAGGUAAUGUAUGCGUGUCGUCAGCUCGUGUCGUGAGAUGUUUGGUUAAGUCCGGUAACGAGCGCAACCCUCGC
rnacentral:rRNA from 1 species